GAUUUGGAGACUGUCUUAACCAUGUACUCGGCGAAAAUGCAAGUGUCGUGAAGAUGCGACAUAACCGCAGUUAGACGAAAAGACCCCGUGAAGCUUUACUACAGUUUGACAUUGGUAUAUUGUUUCAUCUGUUCAGCAUAGGUGGGAGUUCGCCGCAAGGCGAACGCCAGUGAGAUACCACCCUUAUGUUUUGAUAUACCUAAUCUUCCGGUCUGAAUCGGCUGGGAGAGACAGUGUCUGAUGGGUAGUUUAACUGGGGCGGUUGCCUCCUAAAAUAUAACGGAGGCGUUUACAAAGGUUGGCUUAUCCCGGAUGGAAAUCGGGAUGGACGUGCAAACGCAAAAGCCAGCUUUACUGCAAGGGUUACAGUCCGAGCAGUUACGAAAGUAGAAGUUAGUGAUCCGACCGUACGAUAUAGGACGGCGGAAGCUCAACGGAUAAAAGCUACUCCGGGGAUAACAGGCUGAUCGCGCCCAAGCGUCCACAGCGACGGCGCGGUUUGGCACCUCGAUGUCGGCUCAUCGCAUCCUGGGGCUGGAGAAGGUCCCAAGGGUUUGGCUGUUCGCCAAUUAAAGCGGUACGCGAGCUGGGUUCAGAACGUCGUGAGACAGUUCGGUCUCCUAUCUGCUGUGGUCGUCGAAUAUUGAAGGAGCUCAUUCCUAGUACGAGAGGACCGGAAUGAACAAACCUCUGGUGUACCAAUUGUCAUGCCAAUGGCAUAGUUGGGUAGCUAAGUUUGGCAUAGAUAAGCGCUGAAAGCAUCUAAGCGCGAAGCUAUUCCUAAGAUUAAUAUUCAUUUGAGAUCUGUCCGAGACUAGGACGUUGAUAGGCGCUAGGUGUAAGCUCUGCAAAGAGUUGAGCCGAGGCGUACUAAUCGAUC
rnacentral:rRNA from 1 species